AACUGCAUACAUGUGGGUGUGUUUUGCAAAUGUAACCACUCUGGGAACAACAUCCACUGUGAAUUAAAAAAGCGGGAAAAGACUAAUUAGGCUAAGAAUCUCCCCCAG